UCCGAUGUGGUGUAGUGGCUAACAUUGCUGUCUUUCAUAGAGAGGUGGCACUGUCAGCACAGCAGCCCGGGGUUCGAUUCCCCGCAUCGGAA